rnacentral:ncRNA from 1 species
CAACGGGAAUGAAAUUUAUUUAAUUACUCUUCUUUCUCAAAUUAAAAUUAGUUAAAAAAUUUGAGAAAGAAGAGUAUAUUUAUAUAGUAAUAAAUAUUUGCACGAAUAGCUCUUUAUGUUAAUUAUUAGAUGUGAUUAGAAAAGAAGAUAUUUUUAUUAUUUUUGGGAGCCAAAAAUAGGCUAUUUUUGGAUCCUGGCGAAACUUGUGCCAGCCGCCGCGGUUAUACAGGUGGGAUGAAAUAUUUUUAUUAUUUAAUUAACUGUUUUUUUAUUAUUAUUAAUAAUCAGGUGAAAUUGUUGUUUAAGUUUAGAAAGGUUAAGUUUGGAAAUUUUUGUAGAUAAAGUAGGAUUAGAUACCCUAUUAUUGUGAAAUGUUAAAUUGGUAGUAUAUUAAAUGCUUAAAAAUCUAAAGAUUUUGGCGGUAUUUUAAGCUUUUUAGAGGAAUUUAUUCUGUAAUUGAUAUGGCUCAAAGAUCUUACUUAAUUUUGUUAAAACAGUUUGUGUAUUGCUAUCAUUUAAUAUUGUUUUGUUUGAAAACUAUAAAUUUUAAUUUUUUUAGAAAUGUUAGGUCAAAAUGCAGCUUAAAGUUGAGGUUGAAGUAAAUUACAUUAAUUUAUAUUUAUGGAAUUGAAAAAAAAAAUAAAGGAUUUAAAAGUAAAUUAAAAUUAUAAAGUUUAAUUGAAGAAAGUUUUGGAAUAUGCACAUAUCGCCCGUCACUCUCAUUUAUGAGAUAAGUCGUAACAAAGUAAAAGUACCGGAAGGUGUUUUU